UCCCACCCAGAGGCUUUAAAUGUCUGACAACUUCCUGGUAGAAAUAUUGCUAUGCAGGAAAACCUCAGAUGCCUGUCUCUUAAGUUUAAACCUAUGUAUAACAAAAAGGCCUUCAUACACCACUACACUAGAGAGGGCUUAAGUGAAUCCGAAUUCACUGAAGCACAAGAAGAUUUAAAUGAUUUGAUUUCUGAUUAUCAGAGUUUUCAGGAUUGCGGAAAAGGGGAGGAAAAAAAAAAAUCUAAAUCAAACAAAAAGCGAGUUGGCAAGCAAUUCAAUCUAGGUUAUGGCAAGACCAGCUCAGGGAAGGGCCCUGAGGGUCAUCAAGCCAGGACAAGAACCAUGGGGGUUGGGAUUACAGCAGGACCAAUUCCAAUUUCGACUAAGAACUUCGCAGAAAGCUACUUAGAGCAGAGAACUUACAACGCGGCGCCAUAUGCCAAGACCAACUCAGGGAAAGGCCCCGUGGGUCAAGCCGGGGCAAGAAGCAUGGGGGUUGGGAUGUCAGGAGGACCAAUCCCGAAUAAGAACUCCGCAGACAGCUUCUUAGAGCAGAGUGUCCAUGCUAUUAUGCUGCUAUGGAUUAUUUUCUGUUAUGGGGUAAUAUACUAG
rnacentral:lncRNA from 1 species